GGUGUACCUAAAGUCGAUAACCGCAAGGAGUCGCCUAGGGUAAAACUAGUAACUGGGGCUAAGUCGUAACAAGGUAGCCGUAUCGGAAGGUGCGGCUGGAAUACCUCCUUUUUAGAGCU
rnacentral:rRNA from 1 species